rnacentral:rRNA from 1 species
GAUGAACGCUGGCGGCGUGCCUAAUACAUGCAAGUCGAGCGAACGGACGAGAAGCUUGCUUCUCUGAUGUUAGCGGCGGACGGGUGAGUAACACGUGGAUAACCUACCUAUAAGACUGGGAUAACUUCGGGAAACCGGAGCUAAUACCGGAUAAUAUUUUGAACCGCAUGGUUCAACAGUGAAAGACGGUCUUGCUGUCACUUAUAGAUGGAUCCGCGCUGCAUUAGCUAGUUGGUAAGGUAACGGCUUACCAAGGCAACGAUGCAUAGCCGACCUGAGAGGGUGAGCGGCCACACUGGAACUGAGACACGGUCCAGACUCCUACGGGAGGCAGCAGUAGGGAAUCUUCCGCAAUGGGCGAAAGCCUGACGGAGCAACGCCGCGUGAGUGAUGAAGGUCUUCGGAUCGUAAAACUCUGUUAUUAGGGAAGAACAUAUGUGUAAGUAACUGUGCACAUCUUGACGGUACCUAAUCAGAAAGCCACGGCUAACUACGUG